rnacentral:rRNA from 1 species
CCUACGGGAGGCAGCAGUGGGGAAUAUUGGGCAAUGGAGGAAACUCUGACCCAGCGACGCCGCGUGCGGGAUGAAGGCCUUCGGGUUGUAAACCGCUUUCAGCAGGGAAGAAGCGAAAGUGACGGUACCUGCAGAAGAAGCACCGGCUAACUAUGUGCCAGCAGCCGCGGUAAUACAUAGGGUGCAAGCGUUGUCCGGAAUUAUUGGGCGUAAAGAGCUCGUAGGUGGUUCGUCACGUCGGAUGUGAAAAUCUGGGGCUUAACCCCAGACCUGCAUUCGAUACGGGCGAGCUUGAGUAUGGUAGGGGAGUCUGGAAUUCCUGGUGUAGCGGUGGAAUGCGCAGAUAUCAGGAGGAACACCAAUGGCGAAGGCAGGACUCUGGGCCAUUACUGACACUGAGGAGCGAAAGCGUGGGGAGCGAACAGGAUUAGAUACCCUGGUAGUCCACGCCGUAAACGGUGGGCACUAGUUGUGGGGACCUUCCACGGUCUCUGCGACGCNGCUACGCAUAGUGCCCGCCGCGGAGUACGANCGCAGAUAAACUACGAAGAGUAGACGCGUGACGNGCGACGACGACGACGACGGAGGAG